rnacentral:rRNA from 1 species
UACGCGGGGGGCGAGCGUUGUUCGGAAUUAUUGGGCGUAAAGGGUGCGUAGGCGGUUUGGUAAGUCUUAUGUGAAAUCUACAGGCUCAACUUGUAGUCUGCAUGAGAAACUGCCGGGCUUGAGUAUGGGAGAGGUGAGUGGAAUUCCUGGUGUAGCGGUGAAAUGCGUAGAUAUCAGGAGGAACACCUGUGGCGAAAGCGGCUCACUGGACCAUAACUGACGCUGAUGCACGAAAGCUAGGGGAGCAAACAGG